GACGAACGCUGGCGGCGUGCCUAAUACAUGCAAGUCGAGCGAGCGGAACUAACAGAUUUACUUCGGUAAUGACGUUAGGAAAGCGAGCGGCGGAUGGGUGAGUAACACGUGGGGAACCUGCCCCAUAGUCUGGGAUACCACUUGGAAACAGGUGCUAAUACCGGAUAAGAAAGCAGAUCGCAUGAUCAGCUUUUAAAAGGCGGCGUAAGCUGUCGCUAUGGGAUGGCCCCGCGGUGCAUUAGCUAGUUGGUAAGGUAAAGGCUUACCAAGGCGAUGAUGCAUAGCCGAGUUGAGAGACUGAUCGGCCACAUUGGGACUGAGACACGGCCCAAACUCCUACGGGAGGCAGCAGUAGGGAAUCUUCCACAAUGGACGCAAGUCUGAUGGAGCAACGCCGCGUGAGUGAAGAAGGUUUUCGGAUCGUAAAGCUCUGUUGUUGGUGAAGAAGGAUAGAGGUAGUAACUGGCCUUUAUUUGACGGUAAUCAACCAGAAAGUCACGGCUAACUACGUGCCAGCAGCCGCGGUAAUACGUAGGUGGCAAGCGUUGUCCGGAUUUAUUGGGCGUAAAGCGAGCGCAGGCGGAAGAAUAAGUCUGAUGUGAAAGCCCUCGGCUUAACCGAGGAACUGCAUCGGAAACUGUUUUUCUUGAGUGCAGAAGAGGAGAGUGGACUCCAUGUGUAGCGGUGGAAUGCGUAGAUAUAUGGAAGACACCAGUGGCGAAGCGGCUCUCUGGUCUGCAACUGACGCUGAGGC
rnacentral:rRNA from 1 species